rnacentral:rRNA from 1 species
CACGUAGGGGGCGAGCGUUGUCCGGAUUUAUUGGGCGUAAAGAGCUCGUAGGCGGCUUGGUAAGUCAGGUGUGAAACCUCCAGGCUCAACCUGGAGACGCCACUUGAUACUGCCAUAGCUAGAGUCCGGUAGGGGAGCGUGGAAUUUCUGGUGUAGCGGUGAAAUGCGCAGAUAUCAGGAAGAACACCGGUGGCGAAGGCGGCUCUCUGGGCCUUACCUGACGCUGAGGAGCGAAAGCGUGGGUAGCGAACAGG